rnacentral:rRNA from 1 species
CCAGCUUGCUGGAUGCUGACGAGCGGCGGACGGGUGAGUAAUGCAUAGGAAUCUGCCCGAUAGUGGGGGAUAACCUGGGGAAACCCAGGCUAAUACCGCAUACGUCCUACGGGAGAAAGGGGGCUCCGGCUCCCGCUAUGGGAUGAGCCUAUGUCGGAUUAGCUAGUUGGUGAGGUAACGGCUCACCAAGGCCACGAUCCGUAGCUGGUCUGAGAGGAUGAUCAGCCACAUCGGGACUGAGACACGGCCCGAACUCCUACGGGAGGCAGCAGUGGGGAAUAUUGGACAAUGGGGGCAACCCUGAUCCAGCCAUGCCGCGUGUGUGAAGAAGGCCCUCGGGUUGUAAAGCACUUUCAGCGAGGAAGAACGCCUAGCGGUUAAUACCCGCUAGGAAAGACAUCACUCGCAGAAGAAGCACCGGCUAACUCCGUGCCAGCAGCCGCGGUAAUACGGAGGGUGCAAGCGUUAAUCGGAAUUACUGGGCGUAAAGCGCGCGUAGGUGGCUUGAUAAGCCGGUUGUGAAAGCCCCGGGCUCAACCUGGGAACGGCAUCCGGAACUGUCAAGCUAGAGUGCAGGAGAGGAAGGUAGAAUUCCCGGUGUAGCGGUGAAAUGCG